AAAUCGGAUCUAGUAGAGAAAGAAAGAAAAGUUCCAAAGAAAACUUAGAAAAUAUUGAGAAAAGAAACGUGUAUGAUUCUGUUGCAGAAAAUAAAGAAGGCGAAUAUCUAAAUAUUUCGUAAAGAUUGAAUAAAUGUCUGAUGUACACAGAGGGCACCUUAUAAAUAAGAAACACUCUGUGACUAAGGAGAACAACUCAGAGACAGGAACUAAGGAGAGAUUGCAAAUACAUAUAUACACAUUAUAAGCAGAAUAUAGUUAUGAAAUUACAUUUGUAAAACAAAUAAUGGUGACCAAAGUCAAACAAUAAAAGUAUUUAAUUGUUAGGUCUUGACUUUAAUUGUAUUUUGGUGAUAGAAAUACCUUUCUUCAGUGUCUGGGACUAUUUAGA